CUUGGAAGCAGCCAUUCAUUUAAAGAGUGCGUAACAGCUCACUAGUCGAGGAAUCUUGCAUGGAUAAUAAUCGGGCAUAAGCCGUUUACCGAAGCUAUGGAUGUCACAAGACAUGGUAGGGGAGCAUUCCGUACGCCGUCGAAGACCCGCCUUGAGGCGCGUUGGAGGCCACGGAAAAGCAAAUGUAGGUAUAAGUAACGAUAAAGGGAGCGAGAAACUCCCUCGCCGAAAGACCAAGGGUUCCUGAUCAACGCUAAUCGGAUCAGGGUAAGUCGGGCCCUAAGGAAAAGCCGAACGGCGCAUCCGAUGGAAGAAACGGUCAACAUUCCGUUACUGACUAAACGAACGAUGUGGAGACGGAGCAGUGACACUUCCGCCUGCAGACGGAAUAGCAGGUUAAAGAGCGUAGAUAAUGGCAGGGCAGGCAAAUCCACCCCGCCAGUCGAACUUGACAGAACCGGGCGUCCUCGGACAACCGGAUAGCGAAGGUAACCAAACUCCCAAGAAAAUCCGCUAAGUACAUCGUUUAGCCACCCGUACCCGAAACGGACACACGUGGUCGCGUAGAACAUACUAAGGCGCUCGAGUGAUUCACGGUUAAGGAACUAGGCAAAUUGACCCUGUAACUUCGGGACAAAGGGUCCCUGUCUCCGGACAGGGCGCAGAGAAUAGGUCCAGGCAACUGUUUAACAAAAACACAGGGCUGUGCAAAAUUAAAAGAUGAAGUAUACAGCCUGACACCUGCCCGGUGCUGGAAGGUUAAGAGGAGGCGUCAUCGCAAGAAAAGCGCUGAAUUGAAGCCCCAGUAAACGGCGGCCGUAACUAUAACGGUCCUAAGGUAGCGAAAUUCCUUGUCGGGUAAGUUCCGACCUGCACGAAUGGUGUAAUGAUCCGGACACUGUCUCAACCGUGAGCUCGGUGAAAUUGUAGUAUCGGUGAAGAUGCCGAUUACCCGCAACGGGACGGAAAGACCCCGUGAACCUUUACUGCAGCUUAGCAUUGCAAUCGGGUACUCCAUGUGUAGGAUAGUCCGGAGGCUAAGAAACGGUGACGCCAGUCAUCGCGGAGCCGCCCUUGAAAUACGGACCUUGGAUUAUUUGAUUCCUAACUCGCGAAUGCGAGGACAUUGCUUGGUGGGUAGUUUGACUGGGGUGGUCGCCUCCAAAAAAGUAACGGAGGCUUCUAAAGGUUCCCUCAGGCCGAUUGGUAACCGGCCGCAGAGUGUAAUGGCACAAGGGAGCUUGACUGGGAGACCGACAAGUCGAUCAGGUAGGAAACUAGAGCAUAGUGAUCCGGUGGUUCUGUAUGGAAAGGCCAUCGCUCAAAGGAUAAAAGGUACUCCGGGGAUAACAGGCUGAUCCCUCCCAAGAGCUCAUAUCGACGGAGUGGUUUGGCACCUCGAUGUCGGCUCGUCACAUCCUGGGGCUGGAGAAGGUCCCAAGGGUUGGGCUGUUCGCCCAUUAAAGUGGCACGCGAGCUGGGUUCAGAACGUCGUGAGACAGUUCGGUCCCUAUCUGUUGUGGGCGUAGGAAAUUUGCGGGGCACUGACACUAGUACGAGAGGACCGUGUUGGACAGACCCCUGGUCAACCGGUUGUUCCGCCAGGAGCACGGCCGGGUAGCUAAGUCUGGACAGGAUAAGCGCUGAAAGCAUCUAAGUGCGAAGCCCACCCCAAGAUAAGAUUUCCAUAUAGGGUCGUCAAAGACUAUGACGUCGAUAGGUUGCAGAUGUAAAGGCAGUAAUGUCAAAGUCGAGCAAUACUAAUCACCCGGAACUUUCGCC
rnacentral:rRNA from 1 species